AACGGCCGCGGUAUUUUGACCGCGUGAAGGUAGCGUAAUCAUUUGUCUUUUAAAUGAAGACCUGUAUGAAUGGCAUAACGAGGGCUUAACUGUCUCAUCCUCCCAGUCAAUGAAAUUGAUCUCCCCGUGCAGAAGCGGGGAUAAACACAUAAGACGAAAAGACCCUGUGGAGCUUUAGAUUACAGAACAGUCUUAAUAAAACUUUUUAAAGCCCCUGUUCAUUUAUCUUCGGUUGGGGCGACCACGGAGAAAACUUAUCCUCCACGCUGCACAAAACACCAUGUUUUUAUAACCAAGAGCGACAGCUCUAAGCACCAGAAUUUCUGACCCCAAAGAUCCGGGCAUACCGAUCAACGAACCAAGUUACCCCAGGGAUAACAGCGCAAUCCCCUUCUAGAGCCCAUAUCGACAAGGGGGUUUACGACCUCCAUGUUGGAUCAGGGCAUCCUAAU
rnacentral:rRNA from 1 species